rnacentral:rRNA from 2 species
UGGGGAAUAUUGCACAAUGGGGGGAACCCUGAUGCAGCGACGCCGCGUGAGCGAUGAAGGAAUUCGUUUCGUAAAGCUCUGUCCUUGGAGAAGAUAAUGACGGUAACCAAGGAGGAAGCACCGGCUAAAUACGUGCCAGCAGCCGCGGUAAUACGUAUGGUGCGAGCGUUGUCCGGAAUUAUUGGGCGUAAAGGGUACGUAGGCGGUUUGCCAAGUCAGAUGUUAAAACUUGAGGCUUAACCUCAUGUUGCAUUUGAAACUGUCAAACUUGAGUAGUGGAGAGGAAAGUGGAAUUCCUAGUGUAGCGGUGAAAUGCGUAGAUAUUAGGAGGAAUACCAGUAGCGAAGGCGACUUUCUGGACACAAACUGACGCUGAGGUACGAAAGCGUGGGGAGCAAACAGG